GAUGAACGCUGGCGGCGUGCCUAAUACAUGCAAGUAGAACGCUGAAGGAGGAGCUUGCUCUUCUGGAUGAGUUGCGAACGGGUGAGUAACGCGUAGGUAACCUGCCUGGUAGCGGGGGAUAACUAUUGGAAACGAUAGCUAAUACCGCAUGACAACAGUUAUUGCAUGAUAACUGUUUAAAAGUGGCAGCUGCUCCACUACCAGAUGGACCUGCGUUGUAUGAGCUAGUUGGUGAGGUAACGGCUCACCAAGGCGGGGAUACAUAGCACAACUGAGAGGGGGAUCGGCCACACUGGGACUGAGACACGGCACAGACUCCUACGGGAGGGAGCAGUAGGGAAUCUGCAGCAAUGGGCGGAAGUCUGAGCGAGCAACGCCGAGGGAGUGAAGAAGGUUGUCGGGUCGGAAAGGUCUGUUGUAGGGGAAGAACGAGUGUGAGAGUGGAAAGUUCACACUGUGACGGUAACUGAUAAGAAAGGGACGGCUAACUACGUG
rnacentral:rRNA from 1 species